UUAAAAUGUUUGUUGUUGAUUUAAGGAUACGUUUUUAAUUUUUGUUUUGUGUUUCUUUUUCUUACAGAUCCAUGACCAUAACGUAUUGUUUGUUUUAAUUUCUGUUUGAUUCAUUAUGAUUUAUCUAAAAUCCAGACUUUAUUUCUCUUUGAAAAUACAUUAAUUCCAGUAGAUGUUGAGUUGAAAAAUUACAGAUAAUUCCUCAGUAAUGGAAUUUGAAUUUUAAGCUUUUAAAAUUUGGAUUAUCUAUAAUUUCCACCAUAGACAUUGAUUUUUAAGCUGUGAAUAGUUCCAUCACAGAAAUACAUACAUACCUGUGAAUAGUUCCAUCACAGAAAUUCGUGAGAAUAGUUCCAUCACAUAGUAUAUAUCCCUGUGAAUACUUCCAUCACCAUAGUAUAUAUACCUGUGAAUAGUUCCAUCACAUAGUAUAUAUACCUUAGAUGUAAUUUUGGUUUUAAUUCACCAUAAGCUUUGUCUCUUCAAUGUAAUGUUGAUUCAUUAUGGUUUGUUUUUAAUCCAGAAUUUAUUUCUCUUUUAAAAUAGAUUAAUUCUAGUAGAUGUUUAGUUGAAAAAUUACAAAUAAUUCCUCAGUAAAAGCUCAAAAAAAGACAUGGAUGAUUCACCGAAUUCGUUGUCUCCUUCUGUACUACAUAUGAUAGAUGUCAUGGAGAAUGAAUUUUUAUCCAAAAAAGCCAUUGAAAAAGAACAGGACCUUUAUUCAAAUACUGCAGUUGAAAAUGAAAUACUUAGGCAACAAGACAAAUAUUAUCAAAAUGAAGUAAAUGAGAAAAUAACUAGAAGAUUGUCCAUUGAAAAAAGUAAAGAUUGGAAGUAUGAGAAAUUAAGAUCAACUAUCAAGAAAAAAUGGGAAAUGAUGCAGCAAAUGAAGUCUAACAAUGAAGGCAUUAACGUGAAAUGGAGCAAAUAAUGAAUGAAAUAUACUUUGAAGCUUUCCAACAAAGUACCGUAGUAGAGAGUACUCUAGAAGAAAAAGUGUAUCUAAAUAUACAAGAACAAGAAAUUUUGGAUCCAGAUUUUGAUAUUUAUGGAACAAAAUUUGUUUAAGAAAAGAAAUAUGCGGUAGAGAGUACUAGUAAGAUGCUUCAAAAAGAAAAGGGAAUAAGAAAUGCGACACCAGUAAGAUUUUAAAAUUACAUUACUUUAUGUUGUGGAUAUUUAUUGCACACGAUCUUUUUAGUUAUGAAAAAGUAUCUAAUUUAAAAUCUUUAGUUAUGAAAAAGUCUCUAAUUUGAUUACAACCACAGUCAUCUGAACUAAAUAAAGAAGCAGCAAGAGCAAUCAUGGGUGUCCUAAAUGACACUAUGGGUUAUUUAAAAAAAAGGGUAUACCUAUCAAAAGAGUUGUGAAAGAGCUGAAGUUUAUUCCUUUCUUGGUUAAUAAAUAGCUGGAGAUGAAUGAAAUUGAAACAAGUUCCAAUGAAAAGUUGUUAGAAGAAUUAUUUCAAGGGGUCGCGUCAGCAUAUAUCUAUGCUUCUCUAUAUGAACCACAUUUGGGUGAUGACAGUACUGAAGAAUUUUUAGAGCUAAAAAUAUCCGCUGAAAGAGCUAUCAUGACUCUCCUAAAUAACACUCUUUAUUCUUCCGAAGUAACAAAACUUGAUGAUAGUGAAGAUCCAAAUUUGUGUCUUGACAAUGAUUUACAAGGCGUACGAACGGUUUAGAUUGAGAAAGAUUCUGUCAAGAUUCGCAUGGUUGGGGAAGACAAAGAAAACAUUGAAAACGUAGCAAAUAUGAAAGUGAAAAUUGAAAAAGAGCUUACCUUGAGCCAACUACACGAAGACUGUUACCUUCCUGAAACUUUUGUAGCAGAAAAAUUAUGUGGAAGAUUUCUACAAAAUUCACAAGCAAGUAGCCCAACCUUUUCAUUAGGUUUUGGUUUUUCCACAAAAGAUUUUGAACAUGUAUUUUUUUUUUUAAUCUUUUAUAUUUUGUACACACAUUUUGUCUGUGUACUUCAACCAAAGAAAUAUUUAAAAAAG